rnacentral:lncRNA from 1 species
AGAAAAAUCAUCAAGGAAGAGACUUGACAUCGACCUCAGACCUCUGGUCUCCACACACAAAUACCUGUUCUCACACUUGCACACACAAGUACGCAUACACAACAACAACGUAUGACCAUCCCUGACAUUCAUUUGUAUCCUAUGCUGGGCAUAUUAAUGAACACUCAGACUGCACUUGUCCAAGCAAAGGCUCAGAGGGCAAGCAACCACACAACUAAUGAGCAAACAAGUGGAGUGUGAAUACAGUCCUCUCAGGUCUCCAACCACUCAGAGACGAUUCCCUUAAGUGGCUGCUGAGCCUGAGCAGGAGAGAGCUAGAGGUGUAUGUCAACCCGAAAAUUCGGGCAAGCCCAGUCCCUUGACCACAGGGGGAGGGAGGCAGGAAAGAGGUUUUGGAUAUUUCAGUAUCCUGAAUCAUGAUGUGCUCCACUGUGCUUGCCUGAGUACCAAGCCUUCGUGAGUUAGUUUCUUUAGUCUUCCAUGUUGCCCAGACAUCCCUCCUCUGUUGUCCCAUAUUAGGCUGGCACUUCUCUAUCCCGAACCUCACCACACCAACCUGUGCCUAGUCCCAGAACCCUAGGUAAGGGUAUUGAGGGAAUGAAGAAAAGACAAACACACAGACACAUGUACAGUAAAGUUCAGGUCAGUUGGGAUUACCAGGGAUUAUUUUUGUACUGUUAGCAGGUAAGACAGUCUGAUCAUAAGCCUUUUGUAUUUUUAGGAUGUGGUGACAUGAUUAAUUGGCCCAUAUCCUUGCUGUCAUUCUUGUGGGUCCAAACACUCAGGAGGUGAAUCCCAACUCCCAACUGUAUCUAUUCUCAUUGUAAGGAGUUAUUAUCGCCCAUUCGUGUUGGUGGUAAUCCAUAUAACAUUUUAAAUCCUGUCUAAGUUGAAGGUCUGUAGCACACCCCAAAUAGUUGGAUGAAUCUUAUGGGACUCCAGGUGGGUAGAAUGAUGAAAGAGGUCAUUAAUAUUAAAGAAGUUUGGUAGAAUUUCACCAAGCCAGUGGCCUGGAGAUGUAAGUCCUGUAGGUUUUUCCCUGACAACACAGAAAUAUAGUCACUGGGUUAUGUCCCAAUCCCAGGCCCCCUUAUCCCUAAAAUCAGGUUCCUCGUUGCAUCCAAAGUUUCUUCUGUUCUGCACCUUUAGGAAAGAUACAAGCAUACCUUUGCCCCACAUUAGGUCAGGGCUGGGCCAAGCUAUUUUCAUGUCAAGUCAUCUUUCUGUAGCACUUUAGGUUUUACUCCUCUGCCCUGUGCACCAGUGCCAUCCUAGGAAGUGAGGUCCUCUUCUGAAGGAUUUAAAAUUAUAACGUAAAUAAGUCCUUAUUUAGAGAAUUGGUGUGGGUAGAGAAUCCUCCCUCCCUUUUCUCUAAUUGUUGUUUGAGACAUCUACCCUAGACUUUCACUGUGGAUUUUAAGGAAUGUUCAUGUUGUGAACUAUUUUAUGUUGAUCACAAAAGUUAAGUGUAAAAGAGGUACAACCAAGAACACUGAUCCAGAAUGGGAAAUGUAGCUUUUUUUCCACAUGGUUUGUUUAUUUCAGAGGGUUUCUCUGAGUAGCCCUGGCUGUCUCAGAACUCAAUUUGUAGAGUAGGGUGGUCCCUGAACUCCUAGGGAUUUGUCUGCCUCUGGACUCCAAGUGCUGGGAUUAAAGGUGUGUGCCACCAUGCCCAGCUGGUAAAUUUUCUUUAAAAGACCUGCUAGUAUUUGGUGUUGGAGAGAUGACUCACAGUUAAUUGAUCUGACACCCUCUUCUGAUGUAUCUGAAGACAGCUACAGUGUACUCACAUAAAAUAAAAGAAUGAAUGGA